GCCGUGGUGGUGAAAUUGGUAGACACGCUGCGUUCAGGGCGCAGUUCUCGCAAGGGAAUGGGAGUUCGAGUCUCCCCCACGGCA
rnacentral:tRNA from 1 species